rnacentral:rRNA from 1 species
ACGUAAUAGAUACCCAGGUAGUCCACGCCCUAAACGAUGUCUACUAGUUGUCGGGUUUUAAUUAACUUGGUAACGCAGCUAAACGCGUGAAAGUAAAAACCGCCUGGGGAGUACGGUCGCAAGAUUAAAACUCAAAGGAAUUGACGGGGACCCGCACAAGCGGUGGAUGAUGUGGAUUAAUUCGAUGCAACGCGAAAAACCUUACCUACCCUUGACAUGUACGGAAGCCACGAGAGAUCGAGGUGUGCUCGAAAGAGAGCCGUAACACAGGUGCUGCAUGGCUGUCGUCAGCUCGUGUCGUGAGAUGUUGGGUUAAGUCCCGCAACGAGCGCAACCCUUGUCAUUAGUUGCUACGAAAGGGCACUCUAAUGAGACUGCCGGUGACAAACCGGAGGAAGGUGGGGAUGACGUCAAGUCCUCAUGGCCCUUAUGGGUAGGGCUUCACACGUCAUACAAUGGUACAUACAGAGGGCCGCCAACCCGCGAGGGGAGCUAAUCCCAGAAAGUGUAUCGUAGUCCGGAUUGUAGUCUGCAACUCGACUGC